AUUGAACGCUGGCGGUAUGCUUAACACAUGCAAGUCGAACGGUAACAGGCCUUCGGGCGCUGACGAGUGGCGGACGGGUGCGUAACGCGUAGGAAUCUGCCUGUUAGUGGGGGACAACGUGGGGAAACUCACGCUAAUACCGCAUACGCCCUACGGGGGAAAGCGGGGGCUCUUCGGACCUCGCGCUAACAGAUGAGCCUGCGUGGGAUUAGCUAGUUGGUAGGGUAAAGGCCUACCAAGGCGACGAUCCCUAGCUGGUCUGAGAGGACGAUCAGCCACACUGGGACUGAGACACGGCCCAGACUCCUACGGGAGGCAGCAGUGGGGAAUAUUGGACAAUGGGCGCAAGCCUGAUCCAGCAAUACCGCAUGUGUGAAGAAGGCCUGAGGGUUGUAAAGCACUUUCAAUAGGGAGGAAAACCUGUCGGUCAAUACCCGGCAGCUUGACAUUACCUAUACAAGAAGCACCGGCUAACUCCGUGCCAGCCGCCGCAGUAAGAC
rnacentral:rRNA from 1 species